UAAUGUAUGGGGAUCUGCCCGAUAGUGGGGGAUAACUACUGGAAACGGUGGCUAAUACCGCAUAAUGUCUACGGACCAAAGCAGGGGCUCUUCGGACCUUGCACUAUCGGAUGAACCCAUAUGGGAUUAGCUAGUAGGUGGGGUAAAGGCUCACCUAGGCGACGAUCUCUAGCUGGUCUGAGAGGAUGAUCAGCCACACUGGGACUGAGACACGGCCCAG
rnacentral:rRNA from 1 species